AGGGCCACAUGGGCAUUUCUUUCUGAGCGCGGAUCCUCUACUAUGCAUCAUACGGUAUGGUGCAUAGUACCGGGGCCCUCGUGCAGUGGGCUGUGCGAUGCAUACCAUGUGUAGUCAUUCAUCCUGUGAUGGACGGUGUGCAUGAUGUAUCACACCGCACGAUAUAUUACAUGCACAGCAGAGGAUCCCCGCUCUGUCUUGGAUGCCGGCAACCCACUUUUUUCUCAUGUCAAUUGCUUCCUAAAUUCACCCCAUCC
rnacentral:lncRNA from 1 species